AGUGAACGUUGGCGGCGUGGAUUAGGCAUGCAAGUCGAGCGAGAACCGUAGCAAUACGGGGACAGCGGCGAAAGGGACAGUAAUGUGUAGGUACCUACCUCCGGGUUCGGGAUAGCUGCGAGAAACUGCAGGUAAUACCGAAUAACGUCUCCGGACCACAGGUGUGAUUCCACCUGGAGAUGGGCCUGCAUCCUAUUAGCUUGUUGGCGGGGUAACGGCCCACCAAGGCGACGAUGGGUAGCGGGUGUGAGAGCACGACCCGCGUCAUUGGGACUGAGACACUGCCCAGACACCUACGGGUGGCUGUAGUCGUGAAUCUUCGGCAAUGGGCGCAAGCCUGACCGAGCGACGCCGCGUGCGGGAUGAAGGCCUUCGGGUUGUAAACCGCCGUCGUAGAGGAGGAAAUGCAGGGGGGUUCUCCCCUCUGUUUGACCUAUUCUAGGAGGAAGUACGGGCUAAGUUCGUGCCAGCCGCCGCAGUAA
rnacentral:rRNA from 1 species